rnacentral:rRNA from 1 species
UGUGUAGGCGGUUCUUUAAGUUUGGUGUGAAAUCUCCCGGCUCAACUGGGAGGGAGCGCCGAAUACUGAGGGACUAGAGUACGGGAGAGGAAAGUGGAAUUCCUGGUGUAGCGGUGAAAUGCGUAGAUAUCAGGAGGAACACCGGUGGUGUAGACGGCUUUCUGGACCGUAACUGACGCUGAGACACGAAAGCGUGGGUAGCAAACAGGACUAGAUACCCUGGUAGUCCACGCCCUAAACGAUGCAUAUUUGGUGUGGGCAGUUCAUUCUGUCCGUGCCGGAGCUAACGCGUUAAAUAUGCCGCCUGGGGAGUACAGUCGCAAGGCUGAA